UACGUAGGGGGCUAGCGUUGUCCGGAUUUAUUGGGCGUAAAGAGCGUGUAGGCGGCCAGGUAGGUCUGCUGUGAAACUCGAGGCUCAACCUCGAGACGUCGGCGGAAACCAUCUGGCUAGAGUCCGGAAGAGGAGAGUGGAAUUCCUGGUGUAGCGGUGAAAUGCGCAGAUAUCAGGAGGAACACCAAUGGCGAAGGCAGCUCGCUGGGACGGUACUGACGCUGAGACGCGAAAGCGUGGGGAGCGAACAGG
rnacentral:rRNA from 1 species